rnacentral:lncRNA from 1 species
GCAGUGGCGGUUCUCGGCCACCGUACCAUGGGACUCAUUUGGAGAAAGGAGCAAUGAGAGACGGCUGGUUUGUUGGUGAGUUUAAAGCCUGUCUACAGUACUAAUGUUGGUACUUUCUCAAUAACUACUGUAAAUUGCUGAAGCCUGGACACCUUCCCACAAAUGUUGAUUAAAGAACCACCAUUGUACGUGUAAAACGGGUUUGCAUAUAUUAAAUAAAGAACAAUCAAUCCUAAGCUGGAUCCGGUUCUUGUUGGUGUAAAAUCUCAUCAUUAGUCAGAAAACUUUCUGCUCCAGACUCAGCCUCAUCAUCACUUUCACCAACAACAUCUGUUAAAACAUCAAGUUAAAAGCAGAGAAACUUUCCUGCUCGUCUCAAUCGUUGGCUCAUAGUUCGCUUUAGUAGCAGUACUUCAUAGUGCUUCAGUAACACCAGCUCUGAUUGGUCAGCAAGUCAAGAACACACGCAAUGAUUGGCUCCCCGCUUCAACUCCAAUGAGUGUGGGAAGGCUAAAAGGGAGGCUAACUAAACAAUAGCGGUUUCAACUUAAAAUAAAAGGUUUCUAAACUCUCUUGUAAAUUCCAGAUUAGAUUAACCAAUGCGGAGCUUUUCUAUGAAGCUUUGAAGACGCAUAUGAACCUCCAGGCUGAGUUUAAUCACUUAAAUAAGGACAGGAAUGCGCUGUAGUCCGCGAACAACACUCGGAGGCAGACAUGUUUUUAGCUGAGCUACGGUGGCCCCGAUGACCAUAUCACACGAAAAGCAAAAGACAAAGACGAAAAUUUUGUCAGAAACGCGAAUAUUUUUCCAUAAAACACAAGAAAAGUAUAGAGUACAAUAGAAUUAAACUGAAUUAAUCCUCCAAAGGGUAAAUUCAUAUUGUCAGAGCAGCAAUAGAUACGACAGGACACACAAGAGGUAUCAUCAAAAUAUAACAAAACAUCCCUUUUAUUCUCUGAAAUAUCCUUACAUUCUGCAUUUUCAUGGCAACUCUGUGUGUGUUGUGAAAUGAUAUUGUGUUCAAUGUAGCAUUUUGAGGUUUUGGAAAAAUAUUUCUACUCCUCUUGAGAUUAUUAUUAUUAUUUUAAGUGUUUGAAGGAAAACUGGAUGGAGAAAACGGACACUUAGGGGUUAAAAUAUGAAGUCUGCUUGUAAUAAUGGCCACAUGCUAAGACUGGUUUGAUUUGUGUAUGGAUAAAGUGCUUUUUCUCAGGUUUGAGACUUAGAGACUCGUGUGAUCAUGUGCUUAAAGAGAGCUGAGGCAUAUGGAAGUCAAUAUUUCAAGUGAUGUUUCAAUUAGAAACGUCCAACACCACAUUAUUACACUCCUGCAGACUCCCCAAAACCACCAAAACCACUCACAUAGCGCACUACACAUACACAAGUACAAACACCCUAAAACCACAUGUUUUUGCUCGCAUAAAGGCUGCGCUGUCUUUAUGUUUUCAGGCUGGUGGUGUUAUCAGAACUAUGCGCACACACAAGCACACACUCCGACACUCGGGGGCAAGAGUGGGAGGAGCAGAUCAAAGAAAGUGUGGUUAAAAAAGAACACCCAGGGACACCCACCUCCACAUAAACAGGGGAUCUCCUUACCAAAAACAAAGAGGCCUGAGCAGCCAACCCACAUCCAGCGGAACAGGGAGGGGUGAAGGAGCUUAGGGAGAGGGGAGGAAGGGGGAGGGAGGGAUCAGAAAACAUGUAAGAUGGGCGGAAAGGUAGAGCAAAAUCAUUCAUUACUGUAAUUACAACCUGAGCCCACUCACUCUUUCAUUCAGAAAAGAGGAGAAAAGAAGCAGAGGAGAGAUUAAACUUCCCACAAAGGUGUUUACCGCACACAAGGAGAAAUCUUUUUUUAAUUCUUUCUUCAAAUGAGUCCUCCAAAGGCAUAAACAGAGAGGAACACACAUGUGACGCUCCACGGGGGAUCCUUAAUCGGUUCAAGUGAUGAGGUUUAUGUCAGUAAAUAACAUGAGCUAUGAAAGUGCUGUGUCAGGGUCUACAUCAGGGUAUUUAUUUUCCCAUAAAACAUCUGAAUCAUGCUCUCACUCACCACCUCACAAGAGUCGUUAUACCUCCAAAGCAGAGCUGUGUUUGAGUGCCAAAUAAAUAUUUACUUCUUUGUUGUUUUUGCCCUCAUGUUUCAAACUGGACACAAAUCAUAAUUGAAUGUCUUUGAUGAAUAGUUUCACAAUUUAGGAAAUGCUUUUAUGUGUUUUUUUUCUACCAAGCAACAACCUCCAGUGUUGAUGUAUGAAGUCCAAAACAGUGCAGUUCUUGAUGUCCGCCAUGAAGGUUAACAUUGACACCCAUGUUAAAAUGCCGAUUGUUAUGGCGGAUAUAAACACGUUUAAAGCCGGGAACAAAAAAUAAAAAAGUUUUGUAAAGAGUUGAACUUGUUAACUUUUUGAAAAAAAAAAAAAAAAGAGGUAAUUAUAACUGUUUGAAUGUAAGUAGUUGUUAAAAAUGUGGAUAAACUUUUGUUAAAGUCACUUGGACUAUUACAGUUCAGUUUAUGUCUUAGGCUACGUUUACACUGCAGGUUAUGAUGCACAAUUCGGAUUUUUAGUUAAGUCCGAUCUUUUUGUGCGGUCAGUCACAUUAGAACAACGAAUGCGGCAUCCAAUGUGAACAGAAUGCGUCCAAAAGUGACCCGCAUGCACACAAAUUGCUUUCCGCGCCUGUUUGUGUUGUCGAACAAUGGUGACAUUCUUUGCAUAUUGAUGAAGUAUAGGUCAGAUUAACGUGACCUGAGCAUCCACACUGCAGUCACAUCGGAUUCAUAUCCGAUUUACAUCCACAUACAAAAGAGGCCUGGGUUGGAUUUGAAAAAAUCAGAAUUGCACUGUUCACACUUAAAUGAAAAAAUCUGAUAUGUGUCACAUAUGGUUAAAAAUCGGAAUUGACCUGCAGUGUGAACAUAGCCCUAGACGAAGCUCAUGGUUAAAAGAUAGAUUAGUUAAAUGUGUUUAAAAAAUAGACCACGCUAUAUAUUUUUUUAUCUUUGUUGUGUCUGUAAAAGCGAAGUUUCAGUGUCACCCUGUAAGGACAAUACUUAAACACACCACCAGAGGGCGCGCAGUCCCUGUGAAGCACAUGAUACCCAUUAAAGAAACACUUUAGCCGAGCUGAACACAUGCGAAACUUCAUUUGUUUUCACAUACAGGUGAGUUAGUAGGCUUAAAUCAAACAUCUACAGUACAUCCCAGUAUGAGGGGUACCAGUGCUGUGAAUGUUUUUCCGUAGUUUUGCUGUUUUGAAUCUAUUUUGAGAUGUUGCUAUUAGGCUAGCACACCUGUUGCUAAUCCCCACAGGGAAGUACUGAUGAGACACAUGGAGGGGUUUGAUUACUUUGCAAACAAAUUUUCAGUAAAAUAAGAUGAUAGGGUUCAACUCAAGGGAAACUGUUGUAACAUUUACGGUUAACACCAUACUUGAGCUCAUUUCUCCUUUGCACACACUAUACAGGUAUGAUUUUUAAUUUUAAUCCAUCAGUUUGGAUGAAGUGUAGUCUAAGGGUUUUACACAAUUACUGAAGUGACUGUAUGGUUGGGGCAUCUUAGGUUUUCUCCCCAUGCAGGAGACUUUCAGCUUGCCUCAUCUUCACCUCAAGGUUGAGUCAGCAUUUCCAAUCUGGUGUCUGCCAUCAUGAGGCUUAACCCCACUUCGUAACCUCAUGGAUGGUGUAACUGGAGACACUGUGUUUCAUGCAGCCCAUGGUUGUUGCUAAGAUAUGAGGAUCAGUAAAUUGCAUUAAAGCAGCUGAUAUGAAUAUUUUUACAAUAGUGAUGAAUUAAAGGAGGUGUUGGUUAGUCUUUCAGAUCUCUACUCUUGAGUGGCAGAUGGGGCAUACCUCCCUCAUGCCUCUAUAUGAGAAUUUUAAUAUUGUAAAAAUUGUUGGGCGACCUUUCACAGUCAUUUUCAGCUUUCAUUAUGCCAGUCGAUGACACCUAUAAAGGAUGUUUGCUGUUCAUAAAACUAAUUUUUGAAUCAUUUUGUUCUUAUCAUACAAAGUUAGUCAUGGCUUGUGGGUGUUACUUUUUCUUGUAAAGUCAUGAAACAACUCAAUGAGGGUGACUUUUCAGGAACAAGGGACCAUUAAGGUGUUUUUAGUCCCAGGGUAUUGGGUCGGUCCGUCAAAGACCACAUCUAGACGUCAGUGUGACGUGCAAAAUAGGUUAGAAAUUUCAACCUCCAAAUUGGACCUUUUUUAGACGUUGCUCUGACGUUUAGAAUUUGGACGUCAUCUGAAGACCAAAUCUAGACGUCGGCAUAACUUGCAAAAUGGAUUCAAGAUUUACACGUCAUUUUUGGACCUCUUUAAGACGUUAAAAUGACAUCCACGUUUGUACCUCAUUGUCGAAAAAUGUGGUAAAUAGAUGUCAUUUUGAUGUCGCAUUGCGCAGUGGGGAAAUGGUACUCCACUGGGAGGCUGAAGUCCUGGGUAAAUAAUGCAAAUAAGAACAAUAACAUCUAUGUCUGACCAAAGGCCUCAAUAAGGUGCAAAGUGGGACAUGUAACAGCCAAUAGGCCAGACGAGGAGAUGGUACAGACCAAACACAAAGCUCAAAGGAGGUUCUUGCCUGUUUUCUAUACAUCAAUAUUAACAAAUACUUGCUCACAAAUUAGCCACAAUAUUCAAUCAACAGUUACAUAAGAAGGUUUACUCUUUACCAGACAGUCUUAAAACCCUUUUGCUGCAGCCAGCACCUGGUUAGAUUAGCCUGGCAGAAAAGGAGAGAACAGUCAGCAGUCCAAAGGUCACAAAAUCUGAAUAUUAGCAGCUAUAAUGCUCUUUAAUUGGCACAUUUCAUCUUAUUUGCCUAAUCCACUCUGUAGAGCAGGUUUCCCCCUGAAUAAACAGUUGAAUAAGUGGUAUCAGUCUCGGCAUCUGAGUCUCAACAGGAAAAUAAACGAGUUCAUUUCCCCUGAAGGAAAAAACAAAGUGACAGAACCGAAAAUUGAUAUCAGAUCAUCAAAUAUUAAACAGAAUACACAUUCUGUGCUCUCAGAAACUCUGAGGAAACUUCUCUUUAGCAGUGACUCUAAAAUCCCUUUCCCUCAUCACUUUACAUAACAGACUCCGGGCUUCAAACUAUGUCUGCCUGUGUUUGUGGAACAUGUUCUGAAGUAGGUUGACUCACUUUCUGACCACAGCUUGUAGCCUCUUGGUUUCUUUACAGCCUCCCCUCAAUGUGUUUACCUUGCUCUCAUCUCCGUGUCCCUCAGGACUCCUUAACCACCACCCUGGGUGUCCCUCUGGGGGGAAACAAUCGGCCGAGCGGAGGAAAGGAAACAAAAGCUCUGAUGUGAUCUGAGGACAUCAACAAUGCCUGGAAAGUUCACCUGCCGUCACAUACUGCAAGGGAAGCCGUUUCCAGUCAUUCAGGAGACCCACAGGUGUUUUUUCCAUGCUCGGAAAUAAGCAUCAAGUAACACUAAGUAUAAAAUAUGAUACUGCGAACGCACAGAAAAGUAGACAAUAAGUCUGCUUAUAUGCAUGUAUAUCAAAUGUUUUAUGUAUAGAGUUUGUGGUUUGUGCUGGGUAUGUGGUCCAAACUGGAGGCCUGUUUGUGGAAGAACUUGAUACAGUGAGGAAAGGAGACAGUAUAACUCAUCCGUAACAUUUCCUCUGUAGUUAUCCUUUGAUUCUCCCACAAAGAGGUCGCAGACAUGGCUUUGUUAGGUUUUGGUUUUUGCCUCCAUUGUGUAUGUUUGAGUGAAGGUCAUGAGUCUCAGUCAGGAGGACAAAGUUUCAGACUCAUCUGGAGAGGGUGGGUAAGUGCUUUUGUUUUCCUAACUGGCGCAGAGACAGAGCACAAGUGACACCUAGUGGACUGGAGCAGUACUGUGUGGGAAGUGAGGCCUUUUUUAAACACUUGAUCUGAUUCUUAAAACACUUGACUUUUGGUUUUAUGUCUCUCACACUUCACCUUCAGUCUUGUUCUGGACACUUUGAAGAAUUACUCGUCUUUGGUAUUGUUGAAAUGAGCUUUUACAUUCAGGCAGUGAGUCGAAAUCCUUUUAGAUUGAGAGGUAAAUGAUUGAAAUUAAGCUAAAAAGGGGGUAAAUAUGAACAAGAGAAGUUGGUGUCACAGUAUGUAUCCACAGAGAUGUAUAUUCUGUGUGGUAUUUAAGGGAAACUAUGAGUGAAAUGUUGAAAAAUUGCUCAAAAAGUCCCAGGACAUAUACCUGCGAGUCUCUUCUUACAAGUUUCUUGUCAAUACUGAUUGUGAGUUAUACACAAAAUGAUGUCUGACUCUCCUGGAAAAUGAAUAGAGUCGUAUGUUAACAAAGAUAUGAGCAACAUCAACAGCUGAAUGUAAAAUUGGUAGAAAAAUCUGUAAUCAAUUUGUGCUUUUGUAAGUGUUACAGAGCUAAUAUGUUUACCCCACUUGCUUUUAUAUAAGAUUUAUUUAAUAAUUUGUAGUUGUGGCUGUAUGGCGUCUCUAUUUUAUCAUGCAGUAUUAUACCUGAUCAGCACUCACAAAACUGUAUCUGUAUGAGAGACAUGCUGCGAUGAGAAGAUUAGCAGCAGGAAGAACAAAAACUGUUUAUUAAAGGCACCAUUGGGGGUUUUAAAGUGGGUGAGAAAUUGAUAGUAUUGCCUCUUUACAACCGCCAAAGGCAAACAUGAUUAUCAGCCAAGAGACUUUGAUUUUUCUGUUGCGAUUUUUAGUAUACAGGACAAGAGAGAAAAUGUACUGCUUGACCACAGGGGGCGCCAAAACCAACACAAACCAAGCUUUACUGUUUCUUGUCGCAACUUAUGGAAUGAAUAGCUGUUUAUGUAAAUGAGUCCAAGCCAGGUUACUAUGGCUGGUACUCUAUAAUACGUGCAUAUAACAGCACUUUGCAUCCAUUAGCAUGUUAGCUAGGCUCAAUAGUGCUGACCCCAAUACGCCAUCUGUAUGACUGAGCACAACCUAUUUUCUUCCUGUUUGGAGAGAAAACGUUUAUUGAGCCAGGUAGCUGCAGUGACGUGUUUUUGAGCCUUACCUCCAGUUUUCACCACUACCAGAACGGCAGCGAUUUCUGCUGUCCACCAACUCCUACCGGAUCCGUUUGUGAGGUGAAUUUCAUGGCGGAUAACGGACAGCAGGAAUCGUGAGAACUCACAAGAACCCGCGUAUUCGCGUGGAAUCGCGCGAUAUCAAGUUGUCUUUAGCCACAUAGGCUAACCAUAUAAGCAGUAGAUUGUGUCCUUCCAGAGGAGGAAAUCGACUUCUAGACUUCUAAAAUCAGCAUCUCCUCAUCCACGGUGUCAUCAGGAUGAAAUGCUGUCUAUAAAACUUUCACUUGUUUCUCCCCGCCUGUUUGCAUGGUGUGAAAUACGAUCAGCCUGAAAUACAGAGUUUUUAACAUUUUUUUAGAGAAGCCGGAUGUUUUAUUUUGUGUCUGUGACCAACUUCCUUUCCAGCAGAGGUUAAUCUGUGCCGGAUUUACCCCGCAUGCUCUGUUGUCUGGAAAAGAUAGAACUCUUGCGAUCAGUUGAGGAGUCUGGCGAUCCGCAGCAUAAUGGAAAGAAGCUGGUGGAAAUUGACACGUUAACUUUAAUGGUUACGAUCAGCAGAUACAGCCUUUUAGUAGACAUUCUGGAUGCGAUGGAAAUUGGGGGCUAGGUGCUCGAAUCCAGUUCAAGUUUAGUGAAGUGAUGACAGCUAGAAGUCACUUUAAGUUUUGAAUGACUUUCCAAGUUUGUUUGUGAGCUUUAGAGGAGCUGGUGUCUCCAAACAGCCUUUCCCCCCUGUUUAGCUUUAAUGUCAGGCCUGCUGCCGGGCUUAACUUUAUUAUUUUCCUUAAUUAUUUUACCAGGAAAGCUUCAACUGAGUUAAAAGGUCUCUUUGACAAGACUGUAUCAGCCAAGACAAACAGCACAUUUGAACAAAAUUCGCACACGAGGACACAUGACAGGUUACAUCGGGUCAACAUAUCCGGGGUCACACAGCGUGAUGGUGUCCUCCAACGCCAUUCAACAAAUCAAGAUGCACUUUUGAGAUGAAGAUUGAUUUCUCCAGAUCUAACUUAAUUGGAUCUUGUCACAUUAACAACAAUAAAACCCUAAUAACCUCAUGCAUUUGGUGAGUUAAACCAAAAUAGUUCACACCUGUCAGUCAGUGAAGUAUGGAAAUGAUUCAUAAUCUCGUUUAAGAACCACAAACAUGUGAAUAUGAGGGUUAUUAGAUCCUAUUAGCCUAAGUUAACCUCUUUUCAAACAUAAAUGGUGCGUUUCAUGAGAGAUGACUGAUUCCUCCGACAUAAAAGAGCUCGUAUCGAGAUGAUAAGUCAUGAGUUAUACGACCUGUGGCCUUCCAGGGUGAAUUAAAGCUUCUUCACAUGAAUUCAAUGUUACAGAGUCAUGCUCUGACAACAGCCUCAUAACCAGAGUGAAGUCAGAUGCUUCCCUCCAAGAACUGGAUGCUGUCUUUCCUGAGCUUCAGUCCAACAUUACAUCAUGCAUACUUGAAGACUUUGCUGUGAUUUCAAAGCACAGGGUGGGCCCUACGUUUUUAUGAGCCUUUUUAUUUAUUUAUGUGUUUCUGUCCAUUUUUCCUCCUCCCCUCUCUCUUCCCAGUUUUUUUUUCUUGUUAUUAUAGAGAGUGUAAGUAGCGGUCAGGACAUCUGCAUCCAUCUGUAUGUUUCUCUUCUGCUGACCUGAAACAACUCCCCUUCCUCCAUAGAUGUCGAGCAGACACGCCUUUCUAAACAGAGUCCUCAAUGACUGAUUGUGUGGACUCCUGUGAAGCUCCUCUCCUUCCACCCAUCAAACUGCUGCUCCCGCUACGGCCCAUUUAGUAAUAUACAUAGACACACGUGUGCGCGGCCUUUGUAUACAGAAAGCGGUGUGUGUCAUGUAAAUAUAGUUACACACAGUCAUUCUAACACAUCCAUGCACGAGUACAGAGCAGCACAGCGGCCUUGUUUCUGCUGAUGCUCCAUCUGCAGCCCAGAUGUGCCGCAGCGCUCUGAGGUGCCGCUGAGCGCAGGAUGUUUUGCAUUCCCUCUGUGGAACAUGUGAGGCGUUCCUGUGGGCCGUCCGUCUGGCUGCAUUAGUCUGUGUGUCAUGGGGAUGUGUUCGCCUCAGCCCCUCGUCGGCUGGCUCCAGGGGGUUUGGGUACGACUGUUAGCGGGCUAAUUCGGCACAGAUGUCGGGUGCUGAAUCAGGUGGUGAGAGGAAACUCCGGUACCGGCGGGAGGGAGACACUGGCUGCCCUGUGUGGUGGUCCAGCCCCUUCAUGAGCAAAUCCUCCCAGCUUGUUCCUGUUUCAGUCAAAGCUGAGGUGGAGAAUAGUAAUGUUUUUAUGGUGUACUGUAUCUGCUCUCUAAUGACAAGACUGUUUCCUUUUUUAUGACUCCAAAAACUCCUAAAACUGAUUUUAUAUUUUUGUUUUUGAGUUUCAGAGGAAUAAAACUUUACAGGCCCGACCUGCACGACUUCGGAGGAAGGGAGUAAACGCAAGAUAAAACUUUCUGAUGUUGUUUACUUAACCUUACUCUGAAAGGGUGUUUACAUCACGGAGUAUUUUUUUAUGUUCUUGUAAUUUUGCAAAAGAAAGUAAUACAACCACUAUGGUUAAUCUUUAACUUUGAUAAUCGAUAAGAAAAGUUGGAUUAAGAUAAAUACCAUUAUCUCCAUUGUUUUGCAAGUAUUAAAACCUUGUGCCCACAUUAUUUGUCAUAGUGGGUCAUGUAUCUUUUUACCAUUGCAUCGCAUUUACCUCGAGCUAAUUUUAAAGCCAACCAGUCAGAAUCAAAAAGAGGCGGGCAUCUGUUAGCAAGUUUGUCAACGACAAUCGCAGAUGUCUGGGAGGUACAUUUCCCAGUGCUAGAGCUAAUACUAAUGCUGUGACACCAUAGACCGUGUAUAUAGAAUGGACGCCGUCUGCCUCCUCGCUGAGUGAAGCCACCCCAAGAACAGCACCCUCUGGUGACAGGCUGCAGUAUAGGUCAUAAAUCCCGCCUCCGCCAGCAAAGCUUAUGGAGCUGUGGACAUGUAGUUAUUGCAAGACUGGUUUGUGCUGGCUUGCUGUUUGAGACAAGCGUCAUCACAGCGACUCCCGCCCAAUGUGUCCAAUGCUAUUGCACAAUGUUGGUUUCAGGAAGUGGAGAGAAAAAAAAGGAAUACAGAGAGCUUUUUGGCUUCAAAUCCGUAGACUGGUGGAUGGCGGGAACCAAGUUGUCCAUAGUAUAUACAGUCUCUGUUUGACACACAGUUUGUCUCUUUGUGAAAUGCCAUCGAAUGAAAGCUAUUAUAAAGCACAAAGAGCACUGUAAAACAGACGUAAUGUUAACUACUUGGAAGGUAGCAGAAGUUCGGCAAUUUUUGAGUCUGCCAGCGCAGACUCAUAAAAACUCGCCAUGGACAGUAUAUCAAUAUCAUCUUUAAGCUUGAUCAUUUUUAAUCCUUAUAAAUACUGCUAAAGCAUGCCUUUACUGUAGUUAUUAAAACUGAUGUCCAACAUUUUAAACCUUCAACACUUAAUAUAUUCUCAUUGAAUUUGAUCAAAAUGAGAAAGAAACACCUCAAGUUUGAAAUUCACCUCUUCAAAUCUAAACCAGGCCACUAAAAUGUGGAUUACAACCAGGAAAGAUUGCGUCAUCCCUGCUGUCCCCCCUCUGUUUUUACUAGUUACAUUUCAUGUAGUAAAUGUGCAGCUUAUUGUGCAGUUAAAGCCGCACAGGAACUCUUUAAUUUGCACAAACCUUGGAGAGGAAGUAUCAGGGACAUGACACAGAUAUCAUUAGCAGCAGUUUGCUUCACAAUGAAGACGUCACAAGUGGAAACUUAACAUUAAAUAAAGGAAUAUACUUAAAAUCCCAUGUUUUCUUUAAAUUUCGAUUUGAUGAAUCAGCUCCUGUCUCUUAUAGACGACAAACCAGUGUCGUGUUGCUUUGUCGGUACUGAAGUUGGUAUCUGAACAGCUCCUUUCGGGCUCAUUUCUUUCGGCAGUACAUGCCGUUGGCCGGCGCCUCCACAGCUGGCAGACGACAUAUUCCAUCCCAAGCAAUCGUGGCCCUCACCACCUGCUAUAGGGUCAUGGUUAUAGUGUGAGCCUGUUUAAGAUCUGCACUGUGUGUGUGUGUGGGGAUGUGUGUAUGUGCGUGUGAUGGGUGUCUGCUUAUAGAGGAAGAAGAUGCUUUAAUACACACACAUGUAACUGACACAGCAUGAGGCUCCAUUGUGUCCUAAUCAGUAUACCAAGAGAACUGAAUAACCAAUAUGUCCUCCGUCCUCCGCUCCAGUUGAGCGAGUAUGUCCAGAUAGAGACGGAGAGGGACGGAGAGCUGGAAUUCCUCUUUGAUCACGGCGUCCGUUGGUCAAUGGGACGUGGCGUUUGCCGAGGGGGUGCGCAGGCUGAGGAGGCUGCAGGGGCCGGAGCAACAGGGAGAGAGUGCUCAAUUGUCUUGUCCCUUUCUUUUUAUAUUUCUCAGGGACAUACACCCCCACCAAGAAGCCGAUACCGAGGUCAGGACCUUCUGCCCCCCCCUUCGUUUUUGCUCAUUCUUGACGGACGCUCUCUGUCAUGUAUAACUGCUGAACAAACCCCCUUUCCUCCCUCAACUGUCUCCCACAAGUACUUUCUUGCCACCCUGCUCCUUUAUGCAGGAGGUGGAGGUCGAGGCGUUGGCUUGGGGGUGGGGACGAGUUGGUCUGGAAACUUUUUUUUUUUUUUACAUAAAAGAGACAAAAACUGACAAAAUCUGGACAAAGACAAAUUGACUGCGAGUGUGUUUUAGUUCUGGAAGCAUCUGGUAGUUUUAUAAAAAGCAUUUCUAAGAAGCAGAAGGAGGCUGCUGUUUGUUUCAAGAGUCUGUUGUUAUUUACUCCAUUGUUACGUGAGCGGGCGAGUGUGCAGCCAAGCCAUCAAAGAACAGAACAUUUGGUCGUUAACAGAACUGUAGUGUUUGACAGAUGUAUAACAUAUUCUCUUUCUUGGAAAUGCUUUAUGGAACAACAAGUCUGCACCCAAAGCAUCUGCAGCGUUGAGAAGAAGCCUUUACAGGGCCUUUAGCUUUUAUUAUUCCCGUUUUCUGGCAUAAACUCAAAACCUGUUCGUGUCCAGCAUGUGGAAAACAAGAAGCAGAGUGUCACCAAUCCACAACUGAAAGAAGAAAGGACAGAUGAUUGGAUUAUUCUGCUUUUUUCAAGAGCUAACAAUAGUAACAUUGAUUGUUCAGGCAGAUUAAAGUGGUCGGUGUGCAGCGCAGAAGAGUAAGACUGAAGUUUUAGAGUCUGUGUUUGAAGCAGUGACACAUUUAGAUUAAUAGAUAGUUUGACAUGGAUGUGGUGGGAACACAGAUGUUCAACAUCUGAAAAGAUUUAUCUAAUGAAAUCUCUCAAUAAACAAAUUAAACGCUCUGCCCGUGUGCAGCUGUGAUACUGACGAUCCAUAUUAGAUUAAUAUAAUCUAAUAAAUCCAGGACGCAUCAAAAGAGAGCCAAACAAAUCUGACACUUCUGGGUCAAAACAAGUUAGUCUUGUUUAAGUAAAAGUCGGUCGCAUAUUCGUCAUUACUUUUAGUCAAAGUGUUUCCCGUCUAUGUCCAACAUCUACUUCAAACACUUCAGCUCGUCUCGUCUCUGUGGUUGAUGUUCGCUAAAUGAACGCCGUCAUUCAUUCUCAUCUUUGAAGCCAAAACGUCGUCCCUGCUGGUGUUGACAAACAAAGACCUGUGUGACUGUGACUUGGCUGGUCGUGUGGCCGGACAGACUUGAUAUCCCUGACUAUAACCCAGAGCCGGCACAAGCCUCAACAGGGCCCUAAGCAACAUUUGAUUAUGGGGCCCUCUAUUUCUGCCAGUAAUAUUGAUCGUUGAUCACCUUCACCUUCACAAAUCUCUUUAACAUUCCAUGACAUGCAAAUGUACCUUUAUCUUGGCAUGUUUUCUCUUCUUCCUCUUUCUUCCUCUUUCUUUUCUCUGUUCCUGAAGGAUACGUCCUUUUUUGCGACAUUGUUUCGCCCCAAAACUACCUGCUCUUUGGAUGAUCAGUGCACAUUACACAGCAGGAGGCACAUAACGGUAGCAGAGCUUUAACAUAUCGGCAGUAAUAAUCAUAGGCCGACAUCAGCAGCAGCACUAAAAAAUUUUUAUUUUAUUUUAUUUCCUUUUUACAAUAAUAUAUAUUUGAUCAUACAGAAAGCAUCACUCAUACAUGCAAAAUAUAAAAAAUAUUAAUUAUUAUUUUUUUUUUUUAUUGCUCUUGGGGGCCCCCUACUGGCUGCGGGACCCUUAGCAGGCGAGUAGUUCUCUUAUGCCUUGGGCCGGCUCUGCUAUAACCAAACUCCACAGUAAAAACAUACCCAUAAAAUGUCAAAGAUCCCUCUCCUCAGGUCUAGAAAAUCCACAGCAGAACUUAAUCUUGUGUUGAUUUGAGGCAGAGACAAACUCUUGUGCUGGUGUUUUAUAUAUUUUCUCCCUGUUUGUCCUCGACUGUGUUAAUCUGGAGAAUCUGCAGAAACUGUUCAUCAUCAUGGUGUUGAACCCGCUCUUUUGAAAAUCAAGGACACAAAAACUUUUAUAUCAGAAACCAUGUGUCAAAAAAAAAGUUUUUAAGUGUAUUUUAGUUUUAUAGAGAAGCCGAUCUGUGAUCUAUUAACAUUACAGAGACAGAGCUUAUGACCUAUACUGUAGGUGGCCACCAGGGGAGCUCUAAAUCCUUUGGCUUCAACCCAGACUGAUAAUUAUAGUGUUCUAUGUAUACACAGUGAUUUUAAGAGGUUUGAUAGAUGAGUGGGGUUUUUUACUCAAGAUGAUUUUAUUUAAAGCUAAUUUAAUUUUGCUUCAUGUUUAAUCUGAUUAAAAUAAUUUGAUAACCUUUGCAAAGUAAUCUGAUUAUCUCAUGUUUUUAACUGGUUAUGAAACAGACUGAAAUCAUCACUGAUUUAACUUUAUGACCUACAAAAGCAAAACAGACCAAAUCUGUCAUAAACAGGGAAAACAGCCACGAAUUUAUGAGCAAAAUAUUAUAUUUAGCAAACUACUGUGGUGUCGGUCAAGACAGUGAGAGGUGGAUGUAGCAGUGUGGAUGUAAUGUAGAGGUUCACCAUCCAAUGUGUCUGAGUGAGAAAUAGUUCAGGGACGAUGUUUAUUAUUGGUAAUUUGCAACGACUUUGAGGAUUUUAUCAUCUGUUUACCCAAAUUAAAAGAUCCUGCAGAAAUCUCUGUCGAAAAAAAAGGCAAAUCUGAUAAUUGAUUCUGGGUGGCUGUGAUCUUUAAACCCUCAGCUGGCACAGAGUCAUAACAGACAUGACUCUGCAGUGGAAAUCACAGCACGGACUCAAAGUCACAUCCCAAAACCUCCAGUCUGUGAACAGAGUCUGUUGCUGCAACAUCAACAAAUGCAAGUUAAUCAAAUAAACGUGCAAAUGAAUGUCAAAUUAAUUGUCUUUGCACUAUUUUCAAUGAAAUAGGAACUGAAAUGAUGCAAAUCAUCAGACUCUGCUUGCAUCAGCCUUUCUUAUAGCAUCUCAACUCUUUGAAUUAAGUUUUAAUAAACAAGUUUAAUUAUUUGACCCUCUUUCUGUACUUGAAUGUGGAAUAAUGCUUUCAGUCGAUCACCAAAAUUUGUCAUAAAGUGACCCUGUGAAUUGGAAAAUGAACAAGUUGAUCAGCUGUAUCUUGAAUUUAUCAAAGAAAACGAGUAAAAGUGAGAAGCUGCUGCUCUGGCGGCCUCUAGUGGAUGAAAAAUAGAAAAUAAAUAGAUAUUUAUAUAUGUUUAUAAUAUCUUUGUUGUCCAGCAGAGGGCAGCAUGUCUCUGAAAUUACAUAUUAACUCAAAGGUAGCAGCCAACUGUGGGCUUUUUCUGCCCCUCUGUGCAGUUUCUUCAUGUCAUACUUUGCCUUUUAUUUUUACUUUUCCCUCACUCUGUCUUUUUACUCUUAUUUUCUAUCUUCUCUUUUUCAGACGUUUGUUUUCUCUCUUUUUUCCACUGCCAGUUUAGUGGAGUUUCACACACACAGGCAGAAACGCUCAACAUAUGGUUUGCCUCUUGAGUUGUGUAGCUGUUUUCCCUCUUCUCUCCAUACUGAGUCUGCAAAACCCAUCACUCCAUCUGCCCCCCUCAAACCUCCUCCACCCCCUGUUUUUCCUCUCUUCCUGCUCCCUCUCCUCUCCUCUCCUCCUCCUCAUGCAUCCAUCUCCCCUUCCUACCUUUCCUCCCACUUGCCUUUAUUUCUUUCUUCGUUCUUCACCUGCACAUCCAUCUUUUUCUUCCUCUGUGUGACCGGAUGAGUCACUUCGGAUGACAUCAGCUCCACACUCACUGAGAUGAAAGAAACUGAAGGAAAGUCGAAGGUGGGAGAAGAUCAGUGUGUGGGCUUCUUCUUCUCACCACACCGGGUUCAUAUUUCUCACAUGUUUUUCUGACAAGGAUGCAAGACUGUGUGGAUUCUGGUCUUGUUUUUAACCCUCCUAACCCAGGAUCAUCUCAAAACUCCUCUCUAAUCCUCACAUUGAUUGGUUGUUUUUGUCAGGAGUUAAUCUCUGUCUCGUUUUUAGCGGGCCUGUUCAAUGUUUUAUGGUCAGAACUCUUGUUUCUAUAAUGACUUUUAAACUCAGUAAGGUGUUGAAUUCUGGUCAGAUUUAAAAAGACUAUUUUUAUCCUCUUUGAAGAUGAACUAGGACAACUAUUUGUCAGUUUUUAACAUUAAAAAGUCCAAAAAUAAUCUAAAAGGGGGUAAAUAUGAGUUUACCUGAGGGCAGAUAUUAUAGUUUAUUUGUUUGUUUAUUUAUUUGGAUCCCCAUUAGCUCCUCUUCCUAGGGUCCACAAGAAAACAUUCAACAUUCAUAUACAUUAAAAUGAUAAAAGUCCAAACAGGAGAAUUAUACAAGAUGUUAAAAUCAUAACUAAAACAAGAAUUAUGAUGACAUUACAUUUCCAAUUUAAAAAACACUAAACAGUUUGUCACUGUGAGAUUUCCCUACUCUUUCCUGUCCCUGCAGUUUGUACAGGUAUGCGUGAGUGUUGUGGGUUUUGGUUUACAAGCCUGUCGUGGCUCUCUGUAUCCUGUUCCUGGUCCCUUGAAGUCCCAUGUGGACCUCUGGAGGGUGUCUUUAACAACAAAGUCAGUUUGGUAUGUGUUUACUCAGAGCCGCCCUCAGUGUCUCCUCUCCUCCUCUGAAGCAGAAGCUGGCUGACAGAUAACAAACACCUCUCGGCGCUGACUGACCCACAGAUUUACGGCUUCAUAAAAGUCUGGUUUGGGGAUUUGGUUAACAGUUUCCCUUCAGGAGGUCAUUUGGAGCUGUUUUCUCCUCUGUCAGCACGUCAAACUGAGAGUGAAGAUAACCAGUCUGAAGCGAAGACAAUGCUUCCUGAAUGAGAGGAUGUUUUCUUGCCAAAUCAAAACCAUGUCAGUGUUAGCGUGUGGUGUAUUUAAAGCCUCAUGAGGAAACAUGCACGUGUCAGUGCUAAUUCCUCUGUGGGGCAUUCACACUCUUUUGUCUCUCUUUCUUUCUGGGGGUAAAGAGAGAAAUCACACUUGUAACAGGUGGAGCAUUCAGCAGCAAACAGGGUGUUAAUAGAGUGUAUGAAGGUCUGUGUGGGCCUCACACCUUCUCCCUCUCAACAUAAACUCUAGAAACAACAGAUGGAUUCACACAUUUACGCAGACAUCCUCAGAGGCGGGUGAAGUUUGAGGAGCGUUUGUCAGCCUCUCAUGAUCCGGUAGUUAAAGGGAUAUUCCGGCGUAAAAUUAAUUUAGGGUCAAACACAUAGUAACACCGAGUUAGACACCCCCUUGAGAGAUAAGUGUUGCUGACCGCUUGCUUCUCUAAUUAUACUAACUUAGGUAGCAACCACACAUGAGCAAUACACAGCGGUCUACAUCUCCAUGCGCAAACCUCAACCAAAACGCCACUCUAUAGCCACAAAUAAUGCUCAGAACAGCACCUAACUUCAUCAACAGUACAUAUAGGGUCCCAGUCAUAGUACUAGCCACCAAACAUCUUUUUAACUUCCCCUGAUUUCUUUAGCAAAGAGACUAAAAACAACUCACCCACUCUCCUCCAGCAGCCACUUGUUUGUCGGGGAGCCCUGACGAGUCGAUCACAGAGUGCAGCGGAUCAUUUCCAUGAAGAACUAAUCACCAGAGUAGUUCUUCUGCCUUAGCAUCUCAAUCAUUUCUUUCCAUAAAGUAAUGAUCAUAAAUGUUCUUCCUUGAGCUGUGAAACUCCUCUGCACUUGGUGAUCGACUCGUCAGGGCUCCCCCACAAACAAGUGGCUGCUGGAAGAGAGUAGGUGAGUUAUGUUUGGUCUCUUUGCUAAAGAAAUUAGUCAAAGUUAAAAAGAUGAUUGGUGGCUAGUACUAUGGCUAGGACCCUAUAUGUACUGUUGAUGAAGUUAGGUGCUGUUCUGAGCAUUAUUUGUGGCUAUAGAGUGGUGUUUUGGUUGAGGUUUGUUUAUGGCUCCUCAGACCGCUGUGUAUUGCCAUCAUGCGGUCGUUACUGAAGUUGGUAUAACUAGAGAAGCAAGCGGUCGGCAACAUUCAUCUCUCGAGGGCGUGUCUAACUCUGUGUUACGGUGUGUUUGACCAUAACAUAAAUUUAUGCCGGAAUAUCCCUUUAAAACACAGUUGAAGGAAUCAAAUUUACAUUUUAUGACAUAAAACAAUUACAUUAUUUUACAUUGUGUCCUCAGACUUCUCUCAACAGUGGCACCAAACCCAGAAUCCAAACAGACAAUAUCGAAAACCACUUAUUUUUUAAUGUCCAGACCUUGUGAAUCAUGGCUACACACUGAGAUUAGAGUUUACCAGUCCCGUCAGACUACAAACUGUUUUUGUAAUAUGGUUUUGUCUCCAUCCUGCAUCUCUAAAAGUCCUGUUUGUCCUCCGAUCAGUCCUUUAACCAGCAGAGCUUAAAUUUUGUCAACUUUGCUGCUUUCCUUUCCAACGACGGCACCCGAACGAACCUCACAUCCUGUGUGCUUGUGUCGAACGAGGCGCUUAUCAAAACUGGAUCUUAUCGUCUCUUCAUGCACAACACUUUCACUCUGCUGCGGCGGCCGCUGACAGAGGGCCAGCAGCAUCAGGGCAGGACCACAGCCAGAAUUUCCCCUGAGGAGCGAAGCCUUCGGGCUGUGGAGUCACAGUUUACAAUGCUGGGUUUUCUCCAUUUCAUGCUCUCAUACUCUCCAUUGUCCCCGAGCUUUCACAGCUCCCCAUCCGAACAGCUUCAAAAGAUCAUGUGACAUUGCCUCAUCCCUCUGUUUGCAAGAACGCCCUGCUUUUCGACCUCCACCCUGUUUUACUGUGCUUUUUCCAAUCUUUUAAACAUAUUAUGCACGCUAUCUGCUUUUGCACUUUUCCUCUAUCUCAGACUCUAUCAUUCUUCAGCUCUCUUGGUUUCCUCGUGUAAACAGGGAGUGUAUUGUGCUUCUGCAGAUCUUGUCUGUCCUCGGUGUUGACUGUUUUGUCUGUGAGUAAUGAUGGAUUCAGAUCCACACGUCUGCAAGGUGUAAAAGCAGACAUUUCCACUCGAUCUCUCGGAGUCUGUUUUGACAGCGUGUAAACAACAGAGAUGCUUGGUUUUGUCGUGCUAUGACUGCUUGUCCUCCUCGAAGUCAGGGUGUUAAAUUUAGAGAUGAAUGAACAAAGUUUUUGUUUUAGUUUCACAAAAGUUUUGUUAUUUUUAGGUGUGGAUGUGGUUUAAUGCCAAAAUAUAUCCCGAUCAUGAUGCUCAAAAGCUCUUCUCUCUAUGAAUCAGAGGUUCUACCUGCAAAGAUCAUUAUUAUCAUGUUCAGGCGACUUUACAUUAAAGGGAUAGUUUCACAUUUUUGAGGUAGGGGUCGUGGUUCAUGCUGUUGCCUCACACGGAGACGGUUCCUGGGUCACUCCCAGGCACCUCUUUGUAAGGAUUUCGCUCUUUCUCAACAUGUAUUUAAGGUUUUCCUGCAGGUACUUGUUGUGGUUUUUCAUGAUUCAAAAUAACCCUCAGCCACAAGACAAAACAUUACAUGAGUGAGAGAGCCUUCUGACCCACGUGAGACUUAAUUUAGCAUCACAUAGGUGUGUCUCGUCGACUGAAAUGCACAGGGUUACAUCAUUUUCUUAUAUUCAGAAAGUUUGCAGCUCUCCUUUGUACACGUCAUCUCAGAGUUCCUCCAAUAUCAGAGCUCAUUCGACAGGCAAGUUUCAUUACUUUUGGAUAACCCUGAAAGAAAACAGUUCACAGAGGUGAUUCUAGAGUGUGCUGGGGCCCCAAGCAAAAAUUCUGAAACCAGCUAAAGAGGUCAAAAACAGAAACUUUUUAAAAACAAUCAUCAGUAUUACUACAUAACUUGAAAAUUGUGCUCUAAAAUAACUACAGCUCUGGUAUGUUUUUACCACAAUAGCAGCACCUCACCUUUGAUCUAAGAUUUGAUGUCCGAGACUUUUGCUGUAUUUGAGUUACCUCGGAAGUCAGAUGUCGGAGCUGAAAAUGACGUCACACCUGAGUUCCCAGGGUUUCAGUUACCAAGUCGGAAAAAAGCGAAAUCGGAGGCCUGAAACAAGAUGGCUACAUCUACGAAAGUUAUUUUAGUGCUUGCCUUAUAUUCAGACAAGAAUUUAAAUGCACCAAAAUCAGUUUUACUUCUCAUCACUGACAUGGACCACACUCUAUUUAUUAAAAAAAUUCAUCUAGGUCAUUUUAUAUGGGAAAUAUGUCAAUUCUGUGUUUAUUUUUACCGUUAAAAUUAACAGUGAGAUGUUGCACAAAAACUGUCAUAAAAAGGGUAAUACAUCAAAUUUUUUAAUUAUUUUUUAAUGGUCAGGACUGAAGAUGUUUAAGAGAUAUGAGUCGAAAAAAAGUUAACAAAAGAGAAUUUUAUGAACUCUUACCUGCAUGUCAGUUUUGGAGACAAAGUAGGCUGGAUGGAGCUUAAAAUUAACAGAAACCAAGGGUUAAUGGGGUUGCAAUAUUUAGGACAUUUUUGUAGAGUAAGGCUCGUCAGCCCUUGUGGGUAAUAUUCUGAUAUUACUUUACAUCUCUGCACACUGACGUUGUUGCUGUCUGUUCUGACUUCCUAACUCUAGAUUUGCUUCGACAUCAUGUCGACAGAAAACACUCAGACCAGUAAAUUCUGCACAGUCAAGCUGAAUCAAAUGAAUCAAAACAACUCAAAGACACUCUGAAACUGAGUUGUUAUUCUCUGUGGCAGACCUGGCUCUGCAGUCCUACAGUACGCUGAAGCUAAAUGUCUGCCUUAGCAUAAAGAAAACAUGAGUGGAGUCAAUCUUGAAUAUAUUUCCCAAAGAGUGUGAGAGUUCUUGUUGGUACUCUGCCCUCUAACAGCUGUUUUUCAUCGUUUUAGGAUACCCUGAUGGGAAAUAAGAUCCCCCCUCGACUGUAAGGUUAAAAGGUUCACCCUCUUCUUCCUCUAAAAGUUCUUCAUAGUGGCGCUGAACUCUUCCCUCUGGUGCGCAUGUAUGUUUGCUUAAAGGGCAGCGAAACUCCCAGUUGCAUAAUCCAAUAAGAGGAUCGAGCUUUUAAAGUAUCAGAUAUGACACUGGGGGUUUGUCAGAGUGAAAUCUCUUCAGUCCACAGCUGUGAAUUUGUGACCACAGGACGUGAACGUGGCUGCUUUCACAGCUCCAGUCAGAGUGGAAAACUACACUCAACUAUUGUGGUCAUGUGGUUUGGGCCUUGGCUGUGAUUCGUGAGCACUCAGGCCAGAUCACCUAUAGUAAAUCACUGCAGAGCUUGACCAAGAGUUUCUGCGUUGUAAUUAAGAUUUUUACAGGCGUUUAUUCUGCGCACAGACAGAUAUUCUGACGUGCAAACACGCACAUUUAUCAUGUACACACUGCAUGGCUACUAAUGUCUUUUGGAGCCGCAUAUGCGCACACAAACAGCUCCACGUGCAGCUUUCUGAAAUGAGUGUUAUUGUGAAGUGGCUAAACAGUCAUCACUCUCUGGACCUGUGAUUUAAGGAUCACUGUGUGACCACGCUAGCACUGUCAUCCUCCACACACUCACUGUCACCAUUUACACUGCUCUACGUCUCACUCAGCACUGAUUUUACCAUAACUUAAGUAUUGGUAAUGCUGACAGCUAAAUGAGCCAGUCAAACCCCUGCUGUAAUAUUUCAUACACAUGCCCAGUAUCAAGUCAGACAGUGUUCGAAACUGACAUAAAUCACCAGAGUGAAAUUUUUACUGCUUUGAGCCUCCCAAAGGCUUUUACUGCUUUGAGCCUCUUUUUUUUUAACGUUGUUUGUUUUUACCUCUUUGUAAAGCACUUUGUGUUCCCAAAGGGAUAUUCCAGCAUGAAAUUAUUUAAGGUCAAACGCAUCAUAACACCGAGUUAGACACCCCCUCGAGAGAUGAAUGUUGCAGACCACUUGCUUCUCUAGUUAAACCAACUUUAGUAACGAACGCACGAUAGCAAUACACAGCAGUCUGAGGAGCCAUAAACAAACCUCAACCAAAACAUCACUCUAUAGCCACACAUAAUGCUCAGAACAGCACCUAACUUCAUCAACAGUACAUAUAGGGUCCCAGCCACAGCACAAGCCACCAAACAUCUUUUUAACUUUGACUAAUUUCUUCAGCAAAGAGACUAAACACAACUCACCUACUCUCCUCCUGCAGCCGCUUGUUUGUAGUGAGACCUCUGGCCAGUGCAUUACGGACUACAGCGGGGUGACGCAGCUCAAGAAAGAACAUUGAUGAUCAUUUCUUUAUCAUUUCCUUGAAGAAAUAAUCACCAUAUUAAUCAUUUUGCACUGCAGACACGGUAGUUCUUCUUUAAUUUUUUUAUACAUAUCCAUGUAACAUUUGGCUAAUUCUACCCAGAUAUUGAGAGAAAAAUCCAUACUAAUUUAUGUUUUUGUGGAAGAAAUACCCAGGAUUUAAUGUAACAACAAUGCACUAAUGUGAAAGGAGUAAUCUGUAGACAUGGACCUGUAGAUACUUUAGCUACACAAUAAAUUUCAGCUCUUUAUUUUGGUUUCACUUUGCACAACACCUUCCGAAAGCAGAUGAUUUUAGUUUAAAAAAACAAUAAAAUAAGGUUAAAGGUCCAGAUAUUUCCUCCAGUCUUGAGAAAGUGAAAAUGCUGAAAUCUGCAGUUCCUCUAGUGUCCACUUGAGGCUGACUCCAAAAGUCCAUGAAUCCACAUACACACCCAUACUAAAAGAAACAUCUUCACGUCAAAAAAUAACAUGAUUACAUUGCCAGGGUUAAAUCACACUUUAGGGGUAGGAGAGCGUUUUUAAACUGUAAAUCUGAUUUAUUGUGAAAAUACUAAAGCUAUUAGUUUUGCAUAAUAAGGGGCACUGAAUAUGAUGGUAUACUAUAAGUAAAUAGAUAUUGAGGCGCACUUGUUUGACUGAAAAGACCAAUAGUUGGCAAAUUGGUCACAGUGGGUUAGUAUAGGCCUCAAAAUUAUCAAUGCAACUUAUAUAAUAAGUUUUACGGUAAUAUGUCAAACAAAUAUUUACAUAAUACAAACACUGUAGCUCCGUAAUUUAAUAAAAUUAUCUUUGCAACUUAAAUUGAUCAUCAUCUUUUCAUCUUCUUGAGCAAUUACUUUACCCUUCCUGUUUUUGAUCAUUCUGCAGCCAAGUCCUUAAAAUCCCAUAUGAGCUUUUUAUGAAAAAUAUAAAAACAAGCAUUUUUCUUUAUGCAAAUUCUAUCCUGACAAGUAUAUUUAAGACUAACAAGUAGAUUUAUUCAGAGUUUAUGUAUACCAACCAGGCAUGGGUAAGUAACCCAACACUCAGUCAAAACAACACCUCAGUUUGUCUGUUUUACGGGGUAGAGUCGGCCCAGUCACUGCAUUUGUUCAAGUGCUUUUUAAGUGUGCUAUUCAAAUGUAAAACUUUGAAUGACUUUUUACUAUUUCCUUUCACAGCAGAGGCCAAAAGAAGAGAUGACCCCUACCUGCAGCACCAGCUUUUGUUAACUCCGAGCUAGACUGCAGCUCAUCAAGCAGACCACACACGGAGAGAGGAGGAAGCGCCGCGCCGAAAGAGAGAGAGAGAGAGAGAGAGUGGAGAGGAGUUCACGCUCGUGUUAUCACAGAGGGUGAAAAAUGAAAUGCUGAGGAGUUUUUUCCACCGUAAAAACUCAUAAUGUAUGUCCACCACCUCCCCAGCAGUGUCACACAUGUUACCCUUUGCAUCUCUCAUCCUCGGCGCUGCGCUCUCUCUCACAAUGUUGCUGUUAAAGUGAGUUUGGUUUAUUUUCUUUUUAUAUGGAGUUUCCAUCAUGCUCCACUCCCUCUGUGGUUCCAGAGCGGCUGGCCAAAUGGCAAUAAAAUGCUCAAAGGACAUCAGAGAGGGAAAAGGAGACUUAUUUGUUAGCCUAUAACAAAAUCCCCAGUAGUUGCAUGAGGCAGUGAACUUGUGAGAAUAAAGGGGGUAAAGCUCUGCCUCAGUGCCGAUGUAAGAGCUAAGAUAAGUGGUCCAGCAGCGAGUCGACCAACCUUAGACAACUGAAUGAAAUCAGUCAACUGUAAUUUUGUUGUUAGAGAGCUAAUUUUACAUUUAAGCUCAAUUAAAACUCAAUUAAAGUUCUAAAAACAUGCGAAAAAACAGCAGAGAUGGAGUAAGCUCGUUAAAGAACAAGGACACAGCUAAAGUAGAAGCAGCUUUGGUUACACAGAAAUGCAUGCAAAGUCAUCAUGAAACAUGUGCUCCCACUGCUGUGUUUGCUAAAACCAUGGCUUUGAAGUGUGAGUGGAAUGAUUGGGGCUAAGUUAAGAUUUUCCUGCCGUGGGCUCCAUUUGGAUGUGACGUGAAUCAAAACUGAAAGCAGAUUUUUGUCUGUUUCUUUCGUGGCACAUGGAACAUUUUUAUAUAAACAGUUGUGACAAAUCUGUGUCAGUGUGCUCCUCGUGUCUCUGCCUCUCUCCUGUCAAUGAAGAAGACUUUUUUCUAUGUAUAUAUGACACCAUCUAUGGUUAUUGCAUAUCUGUUAUAUUUCCAUCUUAAAUUCCCAUUUUUUGUGGGAGUCCCUGAGCUCCAUCAUGUUGUAGCUUCCUGUUUUCCUGCUGCUUCAACUACCAGCAUCAAUCUCACCUGUCCAUCUCUCUUUCUGCAUCUCCCUCUAGAUCCUUUGCAGUCGAGGCAGAUGACUGUCCUGACAUGAGUCUGGUUCUGCUUGAGGUUUCUGCCUGUUUAAGGAAGUUUUUCCUCUCAGCACUCGUGCUACACUCAUAAAGAUGAAGAUGCAAUUGGAGUGAGUCUGAUCUGACAAGGUGGGGCUCCAUCUUACACCAUUUUACAUCAAGUCUUUUUCGUUUCGUUUCAUUUUUAUUUGUUCCACUCAUGGCCAUUAUUGAGCAUUUUCAUAAAUACAAAAGGCAUUUAACAACUGUAGCACAGCACAUGACUGGAAGAGAGCAGGUAGAAGACAAGGCGUAUUUUACCCGCUCACUCCAAACAGAAAUAAACAAUAACUAAAGAUGGUCCGUCCACUUCAGGUUUUUUUCCUGUAACUUUACAAACAAUAUUACAACCACAUAAAAGGAGACACGCAAACAAAAGCAAAGUCAGCGUCACAAAAAACUACUAAAAAAAGCACCUGAUGGUUGGAGCCCUUCUUCCUCCCUGUACCUUCACACCUUCUAAAAAUUCUUCACAGGUGCUUUAAGUUAUUUUAUUCAGCCUGUUAUCUGUUGUUCAUUUUAAUACUGUUGCUGUUGUUAUAACGGUCGGUUCAUUUUUAACAUCAUUUCUGUCCAAACAUUUUAAUUUCAUUUUUACAAGUAUGGACCCCUGAUGAGUUGCUGUUACUUUAGCAGAGACUAAUGUAGAAAUAAAUGACAAAACUAUAAAUAUAAAUGCAAAUGAGUGCGUUAUUUCCAUUUCAUGCGACUCUGCACAACAAUAAUUCGCUCAAAAUCUGAGGUCUGGACUAAAGUGGUGGUUUUGGUGUUCACAUGAAUUGAAUUAAUGGAUUUACGCUGCAACAGUUUCAGUCAUCAAACUAUUAUCCUUCGUUUCCUCGACCUGACGCCUGCUGAAAUGAGACGUCAGUGUGACAUGAUGGAAUACCGUACAAACUCUCUCCCAGUACGUUAUUCCAGCUCUGCUUUCUGACCUAAACUGUGACCAGGUCAGCCCACAGCUCUUGAGGUCAAACAGCUGUAAGAGUACACAUUCAUCUCUGAGCACUGGGUUGAACCGGCCUCAACCUCCCCUCCUAACUGUCUGUCCUCCCCUUUGCUGCGCUGGCAGCCGUGCCCCUAGAAUAGGCAUGUAAACCAUGUAAGCCUGACACCAGUUGUUUUGACUGAGAGCACUGAGGCACUGACUUAUUGUGCAACACAACUCAGGGCCCUCAGUCCUGGUGAGCCAUAUCGCCAAAACCCCCUCUGUAAACCCCAACCCUUCAAACUCCAAAACUGACCUUCACCAGAUGGAAUUUGGGAGCAGUUUCUCCAGAAAGGUGCGGUUAAUCAUGUCAGGAGAAAACCUGAUACUCACAGCUGUGAUAGUGUUCCUGGGAAAGCAACACAGAGUCGAGUCAGUUUGAUAACUUUGAUAGUUUUUAAGCAGAGAUCCAGACCUGAAUCAGAGCCAUGAAUGGAUAAACAAAGGGGAAGACACCUCUAAGAUAAUCCUUAAGAUUCAAAGACAAGAUUUAAACGGUGUUCAGCUAGUUUUAAAACUGUUUAAACAAAGAAGUACGUCACAUAUUAGCCAAACAAGUUAAGAUAAAGAGGCUGUAAAUGAUUCGGAAACACGGUUUAUCAUUAUCAGUGUGAGUGCGCUGUCAGACUGGUGUUAGUAUUUAGUGAAAACACAACAAUGUCAAAGAAAAACCUUUAAAAACAGCCACUAUGGAGGUAGUCUUGUGUUUGCAUGAUGGGUGUUUGGAAAGACCUGAACGUAAAGAUGUGCCACAACCUUACUUGUCAGAGCUACGAGGAAGAUUACAACGUAAAGCCAUCAUACGGUUUUAUUAAGAGUUUCACCAAAUCAUAACUCUCGCUAUUCUAACUUUUUUAAAAUCUGUUUUUGGAGGUUUUAUACUUUAAAACCCUCCACGAGCCAAGAAAAUAAUAUAAAAAUCCCAAUAUGUCAUUCAUUUGGUGGCAUGUGUAUCCUUCAAGUAAAAGCGUAUGAGAAAGGCGUGUUGUUGUACUUCAUGGAUGUCAUCUUCAGGUGCUGGAUCAAGGGUUUCUUAGAGCAUCUACCAUCUUUGUAUUAAUCCAAAACUAGCUGCCCAAUAUGUAGGGCUGGGAAAUAUGGAAAAAAGUUUAUCACAAUAUAUUUUUUCCAUAUCAGUCGAUAUUGAUAUAUAUCACAAUCUAAAAAAUGAAAUUUAUUGGUAGCAUGUCUUUUGCAAUAUAAUAAUCUACUACAUCCAUGAGGUCUUUGUGAUUGUGUUUGAGAAAAUGGACUGAAUGGUCGUCUGUUUCGGCUGCACAGGCGCCAUGGACUCCUUGCUCCACUCGGGGUUUGUAACCUUUUGCAUUGUGCGUGCUCUGUCGUGUGUCACUGCUACAGGUGGUGAAAAGAUUUGAGUUUAUCCCCGACUUUACGAGAACAUGUACUCGACAUAAUUUGCAGUACACAUUACUCUGCUUCAUGUCCGACCACCGACGUUUUCGUGCCAGUGUUGUCGACGAUGUUGUCACUUGUUGAGCCUUGCAUUUCUGCACUCAUUUUCUAAUUUUCUCACCAACAGUACUGUCAGCUUCACGUGUUAAAGUUCUAUGGUUGCGUGUAGCUGCAGCCUGCUACUAUGCAGUUGUUUGCUACUUGGUUCUAAUUCCGCGAAGUGGACCUGGAGCAACUCCCCUUUUCAUUGGCUAUUCGUAUAGUCUACUAAAACAUCUCAGAAUGACGACUAUCAAAAAGCAUAUUGACCAUGUUUUAUAAUGAUAUUGAGGGAAAUUAAUUUUUGACAUAUAUAUUGUUAUCAUUUUAUCACCCAGCCCUACAAAUGUGUAAACAUAAAGUAGCACAUAUAUGAGUAUUUCAUCACAUCACAGCUAAUUGGGGAGCAAAUCCAGUAACAGCUGACUCAAAUGGAAUGAGAGGGAAGAGCAUUUCUUAGCUCAAUGGCUUAAAGUGAUACCAGCAUUACUUUAGAUUCACUCUAGCAUCUUUAAACCAGCUCACUGAGACAUACAGUAUAACAUAUAGAAAUAAUCAGAUGCUCUUUUCGCAGCGUAAACUUGUUUCUGUUGGUUAUUUCAUGUCCAUCCUGGUCCUUCUUCUAUUUCGUUGCACAGACCAGCAGCUGAGGAAUACUUGUGGUUAUUUGUGUGAACUCUCCAGUCUGACCGUGUCUGUCCUCGUGCCUCCUCACUGUGUUUGUGCAACACUGCUCAACUCAGUGGACACAGCAGGGUGUGUCACACCGCUGCAUGCUUGUUACAUUAACACGCAAACUCAGAAAAGUCUGACCGAGUUAUAAGACAGGCUGCUCUUGUCUUUAUAAGAUCGCUGUUUUUCUGGUGCUGAAUCUCAUGUGGACACAGAGGAGCGAGAAACUAAAGUGGAUUAUUUAAUUGGGUGUAAUGUAGAACAAUUCAAAUUCUCGGUGAGAGGUUAUAAAACGUUCCAGAUGGAGAUGGUCAGAGACUAAAAAGGGGGAAACCGAUCUUCCCACUUGGGCCACAAGAGUGCCUUUUUGAUUAGCCUCCAUUUGUUCCUCAACGACACCGCUGAUUAAAGCAGCUUGACUCUGAACUGUUUCUGACAUCUGAGGGGGAUCCUUGUGAGAUUUACAGAAUGAGGGCCAGGACUCUGAGACCUGAGCACACUUGUGUUUUGUUGGUGUGGUCUCUACCCUUCCCAAAUUAUCCCCUCACAAUUCUUUUACUGCCCAGAUAAUGAUUCAUUACGGCUGCAGAGCUCCACACAGUGAUUUAACAACUUUUGAUUCCAGUAAAGCCCAGCCUGCAAACCUCGCCAAUAAACAAACUACUGUAAUUAGGCUACUUAAAACCCGAAAAAGUUGGAUUUUUCAAUGCUCCGUCAUGGUGGUCUUCGGAGAAACAAACAGACUGACAGACUUGUGGGCUCGGGUACAGUAUGAUUUUGUAACUUCUCAAAUAGUUUGGGAGCCACCCAUGGUUCAAUAGAUGAUGUGAACAUUAAAAUAGAGCUGACGGAUCAAAAUGUGAAAUAUCUGGAUACCCUGGGGUUAUAAAUUUCUGCAGGAGAAAGAGUAGAUGUUGGCCUUGGACCAGGAUUGUUUGCCAUGUCAGUGUAGGUUUGUGGGUGGUUUGGUUCACCACUUUGGUCCAGACUGAAAUAUAAUCGACAACUAUUGGAUGGAUGGUUUUAGAAAUCGGUUAAAAACAGUCUUAGGCAAUGUAUUUUAAUAACUUUAGUGAUCCAAUAACAUUAAAUAUAAUUGCAUCCUGGGAAUUACAUUUGAGACUCUUGGUAAAUGUCUUAAAACUUGAGGAUUGAUUGUCAUAAAAUAUGGUUUAUUAAGGGAUUUGAUUACCCGCUGUAACUAAGGAAGACCUGACUGACAGAAACGAAAAGAGACCCUCAGGCAGCAACGAGAACCGUCAGAGAGCCAGCAGGUCAUUCGGAGUCUGAUGCCGUGAGACAUCAGAUGGCACAGCGGCCGAACGUACUGCAGAAGAAGGACCAGGAGAAAGAGACGGACCUGGAGAGGAUGAGGACUAAGAUCACACAUCAGCUCCAGCAAAACAUCAACAACUCUCCAGCAGUGAACUUCAGAGGCACAAGGAGGACAACUGGAGAAGGAUGAGGCUGUGGGGGGAAUAUGUUUGGAGCAUCAGCCUUUGCUCCUUAACAUCAACUACAGUCUGCACCAAAACCAGAGCCAGAACCUGAGCCAAUGGAGGAGUCUGGAGUGUCCGGAGAAGGUCCUUCGACUUCGCAACAGCCACAUGUGUGCAAACAACCAAGACACUACAUCAGCCUGAAAAAGCUGCAGAAGCAGAAGAAGAAACAGUUCUCCACUCAUCCUCAUCUCUCCUACCCGAACUCAUCCUCUUCCUCAUCCUUCUCCUCCCUUUCCUUAAACCAAACCCAUCCUCUUUCUCAACCUGCAAACGAAUAUUUAAAAAAUAUUCAAAAUGAAUAAAAAAACUAACAAAAAACA